GCUCUCUCGCACGAUCUGCUCCCGGACUCCUUCAGCGCGCUGCCUGCCUGCCCAGGGCCUUCCCGGAGAGCAGGUGACGGCGGCCUCCGGGCAUGGAGCUCGCGCUGACGAAAGGUUCUGGAAGCCGCCGUAAAAAGUAAUCAAGAAACGGGUGACAGGACUUUUCCCCUUUGAGGAACCGUUUGAGGUGUGGCACGAUACAGCAAGUCAGCUGCCAAAGAGGGGCUUAGCCACAGGAAGUGCGUGCCCAGAACGUUCUAUGAGGCUGGCUGCCCUGUUUGACAACUGAGGCCCGCAUCUUCCCCGGAAUCACCGACGUGUGGCUCUGAGCCCUGUCCCAGGGAUUUUCUCCAUCAGAGAAGAGGAGCACUUUGAGCUUUGAGAGGAGCAGCCCUCUGCAAGUGAAGUGGAAAAAAAGGAAGCAGGCGAGGAGGCCCAUCCAGACCCUCCCCCAAGACCCUUGCUGAAAUGGCUGGGAUGCGGCGUGCAGAAGCUCUCCUUUCCUUCACAGCCCCUGGCUUUCCAAGAGUCCCUGCCCACCCAGAUGCCCGCUGGCAGAUGCAGCCUCAUCUCAAGGACACUGCUUGCUGGAUAAAUCCCUCACCACCCUAGAGACAGCCCACGGUCCUGAGACAAGGAUGCGGGCCAGGCUUGUUGCACGUAAGCGCCUCCCGCAGAAACCAGUGAGGCCGGAGUUCCAGAGGAAAUGAUGUAGGGACAGAGGCAGAGGGCCUCCAGGAGGCACCAGCCCCAGAGUCUUCCCUAGAAUCAGACUUUAAGCACAAGCAGGGAGGGAAAGCACUUGAGCAGUGCCCGUCCCUGCAUACCUGGCCUCUGCUGGAACCCAUGCAGGGACAGGACACUUCUUUAUCAGCAAUCCUGUUCCUCUCCUGGGCAGCUUCAACCUGAACAUCCUCCUUCACCUUGAGCUAAAAUGGGUUUCUUGUCACCCUUGCCCAUCAAACCUGGCCUUGCCCUCAGGAACCACACAGGACAAGCCUAAUACUUCCUUCUUGUGGCAACACUUUAGCAAUUGAGACCUGGCUGUCAGGUCCUCCAAAUAAACAUUUGUGACUGUGA
rnacentral:lncRNA from 1 species